GACGUAGGGCGCGAGCGUUGUCCGGAUUUAUUGGGCGUAAAGAGCUCGUAGGCGGUUUGUCGCGUCUGCCGUGAAAGUCCGGGGCUCAACUCCGGAUCUGCGGUGGGUACGGGCAGACUAGAGUGAUGUAGGGGAGACUGGAAUUCCUGGUGUAGCGGUGAAAUGCGCAGAUAUCAGGAGGAACACCGGUGGCGAAGGCGGGUCUCUGGGCAAUUCCUGACGCUGAGGCGCGAAAGCGUGGGGAGCAAACGGG
rnacentral:rRNA from 1 species